AAAUGUAUUCUUAAAAUGCCUCGCGGCAGCUGUCAGGGGAAAAUUCGUAUGAAAGGAAAAUGGGGGGAAGGGGGGCGGAAAAACAGCAGAGUUUUGGACUGGGAAAACUGAAAUCGAGGCGGAAAAAGACCCACAUCAUGCGGCUGCUGUUCCCCUACGCUUUCUCCCCCUUUCCCGCCUUUCUCGCUUUUCCCGCUUUUCCAGCCUUGCCCGUCUGCCCGCCCGCACUUUUCUCAACCCAAAUGUACAUUCUUGUUGCGGCUUGACAAGUAAACAAGCGAAUCCAUCAAUCAACCGCACGUAGAAGGCACACAAAAGUGACAAUGUGGGUGGCCCCCGUUCCUUGGGGGUCCUCGACCAGGAUUCCGAUCCCACCCAAAAAAAAAAGGCGAAAAGAGGCGAAUUCGAUAUGCACGAGUCGUACGAAAUGAAUUUUCAGACAUCACAAAACGACCACUGCAAAGGAAAGAACUCGAAUCCUUUUGCCGCGAUGUACACACGCACACACUUUUGAGUGAAUCAAAAUCAAACGAAGUGUAUUGCAAGUGGGCUUCUUUAAUGUGCGAUUAACGUGAAAUGGAGCCACCGCAGAGCAGCGUUUAUUUGCCCAUGUCAUUGGGGUCUUCGCGAGUUCACUGAAAAGUUGAAGCUGAGGUGUAGCACUCACAUCCCAAAUCAGAGCUCCGAAAAUCCCUAUAAUCCUGUGGAAACUAGCCUAAGUCCUUGAAAGCACACAUACACACAUACAGCAAAAAAGGAGACUGACUUUUGUCAACAACAGGCAGCCCGAAAAGAUACCGAAGAGGACCGAAAUUCGUUACAUCGACUUAAGCUACUUACGGGUAUAAAUGCAUGCAAAUUCCCCAAAAGGACAUCCGAGUGACGCGUUGAUAAUGCGAUUUCAAUGAGCAUAUGCGUUUAUCACAUUAAAAGACAAUUUGGCAUAUUAAAAAAGGAGGAAACGAGGCCAGAAAUUGCGGAUCAAAAGCAUUCAGCUGGGGACACAAUCCUUUCCUUUGCCAGGGAUUAGGACAGGGCGAAAAGCCGGCAAGGACUCCUUGGCUCCAGGACCGCGAAUCGAAUCAAUAAAAUUCAAAUUAGCUUUGGGCAAUCAGACGAGCCUACUGCCAAUAGCACUCCCAGCCUGGUGGUUCAAUCAUUUACACAUUGCCAUGGCAAAAAGGAUGCGCCCUUCUGGCCAAAAGUGUUUGCUGCGGCCACUUGAAACAAAAGAAAAUCAUCUUCUGGCGCCGGGCAAAGGGGGCGGAUAAGUCGAGGGAAUGGGGAAGGCCAGAAUCUGGCGAGUUGUUAUCCGGGCAAAUCAAAUCAGAAUCAAGUAAUUUGCCAUGAUUCCUCGGCGCUGUGACCGCAAGCUCAAUUAAAUUACCGAAAAUCCGGAAAUGUCAACUCAGUAGGAAAACGGAUCGCAUGGACUAGGCGAUGCCCUAUAAUGCUGAUACCAACUAUUUGCACUCAGCAGAGUCACACUAUGACUAUUUCGUUUAUAUUUUUAGGUAAUGUUUGCCAUAUUUCAAUUUUCGUUAAGAUCUUUAUUUAAA